rnacentral:rRNA from 1 species
GACGAACGCUGGCGGCGUGCUUAACACAUGCAAGUCGAACGGAAAGGCUCCAGCUUGCUGGAGUACUCGAGUGGCGAACGGGUGAGUAACACGUGGGUAAUCUGCCCUGCACUCUGGGAUAAGCCUGGGAAACUGGGUCUAAUACUGGAUAUGACCUUUCUCCUUAUGGGGUUUGGUGGAAAGUUUUUCGGUGUAGGAUAAGCCCGCGGCCUAUCAGCUUGUUGGUGGGGUGAUGGCCUACCAAGGCGACGACGGGUAGCCGGCCUGAGAGGGUGGUCGGCCACAUUGGGACUGAGAUACGGCCCAGACUCCUACGGGAGGCAGCAGUGGGGAAUAUUGCACAAUGGGCGGAAGCCUGAUGCAGCGACGCCGCGUGAGGGAUGACGGCCUUCGGGUUGUAAACCUCUUUCAGCAGGGACGAAGCGUAAGUGACGGUACCUGCAGAAGAAGCACCGGCUAACUAUGUG